rnacentral:rRNA from 1 species
GACGAACGCUGGCGGCGUGCUUAACACAUGCAAGUCGAACGGAAAGGCCUGCUUUCCCUUGUGGAUUGCGGGUACUCGAGUGGCGAACGGGUGAGUAACACGUGAGUGAUCUGCCCCCAACUUGGGUAUAAGCCUGGGAAACUGGGUCUAAUUCCCGAUAGGACUGCAGGGUGGUGCCUGUGGUGGAAAACGAUUUUCUAGUGGUUGGGGAUGAGCUCGCGGCCUAUCAGCUUGUUGGUGGGGUAAUGGCCUACCAAGGCGGCGACGGGUAGCCGGCCUGAGAUGGUGGACGGCCACAUUGGGACUGAGAUACGGCCCAGACUCCUACGGGAGGCAGCAGUGGGGAAUAUUGCACAAUGGGCGGAAGCCUGAUGCAGCGACGCCGCGUGGGGGAUGACGGCCUUCGGGUUGUAAACUCCUUUCGACCGCGAGGAAGCCACCUGGUUGGAAGGGUGGUGACGGUAGUGGUAGAAGAAGCACCGGCUAACUACGUG